GAUUGAAUGUCUGCAGCAGACAGCGGUUUUAAUGAGAUAAAAACGCUUUUUAUCGAGUUUAUUAGGAAUAUUUCAAUGUGAACGUGUUUUGUGACCACACUUGCAACAUUGUGUGGGAGGAUUUGCGUAACUUUUGUCAAAUUGUCAUGUGUGGGACCCCUAGACCAAGAACAUUUGAAAGUCGCAUCGAUUCAAAUAGACAGGCCUCGGUAUAAUCCAGUUUGCUUCUAUCCUUCAUCGAGGGCUGAUGGGGACCUGUAAAUGAUUCAAAAGCUGUCACGUGCCUGAUGCAAAAUGUGGUCUUCCAGCGAAAUCAGCAUAUCUCUUUACCAUUGAUUCCAGCACAGAGUUGAUGUCAUUAAGAACAACCCAGUGUCCAACUAGUGGGAUACACCAUGGUCCAGGUGGCAGACGAUACCGCAUCCGUUUGAUGACGUAGUACACAAAAAGACCAAUGCUCAUUCCCGCCAAAAUGGUCUGGGUGUUCAUGGACAACGUCAACAUGAUUGA